rnacentral:rRNA from 1 species
GACGUAGGGGACGAGCGUUGUCCGGAUUUAUUGGGCGUAAAGAGCUCGUAGGCGGCUCGUCGCGUCAGCUGUGAAAACCCGCGGCUUAACCGUGGGCUUGCAGCUGAUACGGGCGGGCUAGAGUUCGGUAGGGGAGACUGGAAUUCCUGGUGUAGCGGUGAAAUGCGCAGAUAUCAGGAGGAACACCGGUGGCGAAGGCGGGUCUCUGGGCCGAUACUGACGCUGAGGAGCGAAAGCGUGGGGAGCGAACAGG